UAAAUUUAAAAAUUUAAAUAUAAAAUUUAAAAAUUAAAUUUAAAUUUAGUUAGAUGGGUAAUAUCAUUAUUUUUUAUUUAUAACUACUCAUUAUUUUUUUAUUUUUUUUAUGUAUCCAAACGCUAUUUUUCUUAUUUCCGAAAAUAAUUCAAUUUUCAUCCAAAUAUAAAAUUAAUCUAAUUUUUACUUAUACACAAAUUUAUAUUUAUCUCUAAAAUAAACAGUUCUUAUUUAUAUCUGAACAAAAGAAAACCUUAAAUAUUUAAAUGGCACCAUUUAGAUCAGCGCUACUUAGAAUAUAUUAGUUAUUAUCCUCCGAUUUCAAAUAUAGAGUUGAGCUAGAAUGCUUGUAAAAGCACCAAAGAGGUGGUGCUUUUGAGUUUUUAGCCUUUGGAUGAAGUCAUGAAGAAAUGUAGGGACGAUAAGUGGAAUAGUAUUUGAUCCAGAGGCUAUUAAUAAUUAAGGAGUAGAUUUAAGGGCUAAAAAUUUAGAAGCACCAAGAAGGUGGUGCUUCCAAAAAUAUUCUAACUCAAUUAUUCAAAUAUAUAUUAGUUACUUUUUUUUUUUGGGAAAACUUCAAAAACCCCCCCUGUGGUUUCAUGCAUUCUCACUUUACUAUCCUGUGGUUUAAAACGUAUCAAUUUGCCCCCCUGUGGUUUCAUUUUUAUCUUUUCGGAAGCUUUUUCGUUAACAUUUCGUUAAAUUAUAUACAAAAAACUUCAGAUAACCAUCUAUAUUUAUCGAAUAUUCACUUUAGUAUCCUUUAAUUUUAACUUUGUCACUGAUUUAAGAAAAAAAUAAUAAUAAAAUUGAUAACAAAAAGAGAAAAACGAAACCACACGGAGGCAAAUUGAUACGUUUUAAACCACAGGGUACUAAAGUGAGAAAGCACGAAACCACAGGGGGGGUUUUUGAAGUUUUCCCNNNNNNNNNNNNNNNNNNNNNNNNNUAUAUAUAUAUAUAUAGAGAGAGAGAGAGAGAGAGAGAGAGAGUUGAGCUGGAAUGCUAUCGGUAGCAAACGGGCUCCAUUGCCAUCCAUUUGUUUUCAAUGAUGGAGCCUUCAAAUCGACGAUCGACACCGUUGAAUAUGAUCUAUACCACUUGAAGUAUCUAGAAAUCAAAUUUCAUACUUUUUUGAUAUUAUUCUCUUGUUCAUCAAGUGAAUGUAAAAAUGAACGGCGGAAAAUGAAUAUCCUCUAAAGAGUGAUGAUAGGAAUUUUGUAAUCAAGAUCGAGAGUAUAGAUCUUGUUCUAACUUCUAAAUAGUUUAAAGAAUUUUCUAACCAAAAUUUAAUUGAUUUGAAUAGCUUUAUACCGUUAAACGAGAAAACGCUUCAUAUCUACUAUUAAAAUUACAAAUUUUAAAACGCUUUGAUCAUUAGGUCAAUGAUGCCGAAAAAAUUUAAAAUUUGGUUUCUAGAAAGUUCAAGUGGUAUAGAUCAUGUUCAACGGUGCCGAUCGUCGAUUUGGAGGUUCCAUCAUAAAAAAUAAAUGGAUGGCAACGGAGCCCGUUUGCUACCGAUAACAUUUCAACUCAACUCAUAUAUAUAUAGACCUAGGCUAGAAUACUAUCGAUAGCACUACGCAUUUGGUGCUAUUAGGUUUUCGGCCCUUGGAUUAAAAAAUGCACGAUUAGGAUGAUGUGGGCCCCCUAGGGUUGAGUAAGUUGUUGGUUUAAUAGUAUAAUCUAACGGGUGAA
rnacentral:lncRNA from 1 species